rnacentral:lncRNA from 1 species
GUGAAGACCGAGGGCUGCUUCCAAGCCCCAGCUGGCCACAGCUACCAAUAUGGUCCUUUGGGCCAUCAAAGCGUGGGGGAUGUGCCUGUCUUAAGAAAGCGCUCCGCUAUCAUCUCUGGGAUUUUCCUCCAAGCGGCUGGUGCUCUGAUGCUGGGGCUUUCUGGCUUCGCAGCAAGAAGCACACUUGGAAAGAAUCAUCUUGAGUAUAUCGUAUGAGAUGAAACUAAGCCUUCAUCUUCAGAUUAAAAGCAUCUCUUUUAAAAUGCUUUAAUUUCAAAGCCCAUCCAUCACCUGGAGACACUCUGGGCUAACAGGCUCACCGGCAGCCACUCUCUGCCUGAAGAGAGAAAGUUUUCUGAGGUGACAGUUGUGGAUGAACUUGAGCUAACCACCUCCUGCCAUCCCCUGUGGUAGUCAGUCCUGCCUGCGGUUUAAUCAUAGCAAAGCAAUGCUCAUUUUCCUCCUUGCC